rnacentral:rRNA from 1 species
UACGUAGGGGGCAAGCGUUGUCCGGAUUUAUUGGGCGUAAAGAGCGUGUAGGCGGCCUGACAGGUCUGCUGUGAAAACUCGAGGCUCAACCUCGAGAUGUCGGCGGAAACCGUCUGGCUAGAGUCCGGAAGAGGAGAAUGGAAUUCCCGGUGUAGCGGUGAAAUGCGCAGAUAUCGGGAGGAACACCGGUGGCGAAGGCGGUUCUCUGGGCCUUACCUGACGCUGAGGAGCGAAAGCGUGGGGAGCGAACAGG